rnacentral:rRNA from 1 species
UACGGAGGGUGCAAGCGUUAUCCGGAUUCACUGGGUUUAAAGGGUGCGUAGGUGGGCAGGUAAGUCCGUGGUGAAAUCUCUGAGCUUAACUCAGAAACUGCCGUGGAUACUAUUUGUCUUGAAUAUUGUGGAGGUGAGCGGAAUAUGUCAUGUAGCGGUGAAAUGCUUAGAUAUCGUUUGGAACGCCAAUGGUGAAAACAGGUUGCUGGGAGUGUGCUGACGCUGAGACACGAAAGCCAGGGGAGCGAAUGGG